rnacentral:rRNA from 1 species
UAAUACGGAGGGUGCAAGCGUUAUCCGGAUUCACUGGGUUUAAAGGGUGUGUAGGCGGGCUUGUAAGUCCGAGGUGAAAUCUCCGAGCUCAACUUGGAAACUGCCUUGGAUACUAUAGGUCUUGAAUAUCGUUGAGGUAGGCGGAAUAUGUCAUGUAGCGGUGAAAUGCUUAGAUAUGACAUAGAACACCGAUUGCGAAGGCAGCUUGCUAAACGAUUAUUGACGCUGAGGCACGAAAGCGUGGGGAUCAAACAGGAUUAGAUACCCUGGUAGUCCACGCCCUAAACGAUGAUUACUCGACAUACGCGAUAUACAGUGUGUGUCUGAGCGAAAGCAUUAAGUAAUCCACCUGGGAAGUACGUCCGCAAGGAUGAAACUCAAAGGAAUUGACGGGGGUCCGCACGAGCGGUGGAGCAUGUGGUUUAAUUCGAUGCAACGCGAAAAACCUUACCCACCUUUGACAUGUACGGAAGUUACCAGAGAUGGUUUCGUGCUCGAAA